rnacentral:rRNA from 1 species
AGGACGCUUCCUUCGGGAAGCGAGCGUACACAGGUGCUGCAUGGCUGUCGUCAGCUCGUGUCGUGAGAUGUUGGGUUAAGUCCCGCAACGAGCGCAACCCUUGUGUUUUAGUUGCAAACAGGUCAAGCUGUGCACUCUAGACAGACUGCCGUGGACAACACGGAGGAAGGUGGGGAUGACGUCAAAUCAUCAUGCCCCUUAUGAUCUGGGCUACACACGUGCUACAAUGGCCGGUACAACGGGCAGCGAAGGAGCGAUCCGGAGCGAAUCCUAAAAAGCCGGUCCCAGUUCGGAUUGCAGGCUGAAACUCGCCUACAUGAAGUUGGAGUUGCUAGUAAUCGCGAAUCAGAAUGUCGUGGUGAAUGCGUUCCCGGGUCUU